GAUGAACGCUGGCGGCGUGUCUAAGGCAUGCAAGUCGAACGGACUGUUAUUUGUAGCAAUACUUAGAACAGUUAGUGGCAAACGGGUGCGUAACACAUUGGUAACCUGCCUCAAAGUCGGGCAUAAUCCCGCGAAAGUGGGACUAAUUCCACGAUAGUCAUCGAAGGUGAGAUUCCUUCGAUGUAAAGUCGCAAGACGCUUUGAGAGGGGCCUAUGGCCUAUCAGCUUGUUGGUGAGGUAAUGGCUCACCAAGGCUAUGACGGGUAGGGGUGUGAGAGCACGACCCCCCUCCACUGGGACGUNAGACACUGCCCACGACACCUACGGGUGGGCUGCAGUCGAGAAUAA
rnacentral:rRNA from 1 species